rnacentral:lncRNA from 10 species
GCUUCUGGAACUGUGAGAGAACACAUUUCCGUGGUUUUCAGCCAUCCAAGCGUUCAGAACUUUGUGACAGCAGCCUCUGGAAACAGCCUCGCAGCAGAAACCCACAUGGAAGGCAGUUCUGGAAGUGUGGCUCAGCCAGGCCCCGCAGGAGAUCAGAGCCACCCCAGCCUCUGAGAUGAAUGUCUCCUCCUCACGGAGUUUUGCCAAGCCCCCUCCCUAAACCAGGGAGCCAGUCCUCUGCCCGGCUCCUUCCUGGUGCCAACCACAGUGGCGAUUGCAUUGGGGCCCUGGACAGCCUUGCCAGGCUCCCUCAGGAGCCUGUCACUCCCUGAGGACAAAGCCCCAUGAGGUAGGUGCUGCCAUGAGCCCUAUUUUCCAGAUGAGGAAAACUGAGGCUUAGAAACAGUUAAGUGGCCCGUCCCAGAUCACAUGGCCGGCAUUAGAAAUGCAGUGAUAAGGAAGAAAGAGACUCUUCCAUGGAGAAAGACAACAUGUGGCAGAUAAAUAAAAGGGUUUGUAUUCCGAGGCUCAGUUGUCUGGGGCACGAGUGCUUGAAGGAGAAGAGAAGAGAAAAGCACACUGGAAUGCUUGCAUACGUGCUCCGGCAAGUUUGCAUCUGACUCUCAAGGCUGUUUCGUCACCUGAUCUCCCAGUGACUCUGAGAUGUGUGAUGAGUCCAGCUCAAGGAGUGGGGAGCUCAGGG